UCAGUUGGCUUAUAAUUGAAGUCUAGUAUGAAUGGGAGCUCGGGGAUAUUCUGUCCUUUAUUUAUGAUUAGAAAUUACUAAUUAAGUGAAAAUUCUUAAACCUUUAGAAAAAAGACGAGAAGACCCUAGAAAUUUUUUAUUAUAUAUUUUGUUGGGGCGACAAGGUAACAUAAAACUUACCUAUACAAUAGGAAAUUUUUUAGUUGGGUAAAUAAAUUACUCUAGGGAUAACAGCAUAAUAUUUUAAAGUUUGUGACCUCGAUGUUGGACUAGGAAAUACCCUACU
rnacentral:rRNA from 1 species